GGAGGGUGCAAGCGUUAAUCGGAAUUACUGGGCGUAAAGCGCGCGUAGGCGGCUUUGUAAGUCGGAUGUGAAAGCCCUGGGCUUAACCUGGGAAUUGCAUUCGAUACUGCAGAGCUAGAGUAUGGUAGAGGGAAGUGGAAUUUCCGGUGUAGCGGUGAAAUGCGUAGAUAUCGGAAGGAACACCAGUGGCGAAGGCGACUUCCUGGGCCAAUACUGACGCUGAGGUGCGAAAGCGUGGGGAGCAAACAGGGAUUAGAUACCCUGGUAGUCCACGCCGUAAACGAUGAGAACUAGAUGUCGGGAGGAUCUGCCUUUCGGUGUCGCAGCUAACGCGUUAAGUUCUCCGCCUGGGGAGUACGCCGGCAACGGUA
rnacentral:rRNA from 1 species